GAGUUUGAUCAUGGCUCAGAUUGAACGCUGGCGGCAUGCUUUACACAUGCAAGUCGAACGGCAGCGCGGGGCAACCUGGCGGCGAGUGGCGAACGGGUGAGUAAUAUAUCGGAACGUACAAAAAAAAAAGGGAUAACGUAGCGAAAGUUACGCUAAUACCGCAUACGAUCUAAGGAUGAAAGCAGGGGACCGCAAGGCCUUAAGCUCCUGGAGCGGCCGAUAUCUGAUUAGCUAGUUGGUAGGGUAAAGGCCUACCAAGGCUACGAUCCAGUAGCUGGUCUGAGAGGACGACCAGCCACACUGGAACUGAGACACGGUCCAGACUCCUACGGGAGGCAGCAGUGGGGAAUUUUGGACAAUGGGCGCAAGCCUGAUCCAGCAAUGCCGCGUGAGUGAAGAAGGCCUUCGGGUUGUAAAGCUCUUUUGUCAGGGAAGAAACGGUGCGGGCUAAUAUCCUGCGCUAAUGACGGUACCUGAAGAAUAAGCACCGGCUAACUACGUGCCAGCAGCCGCGGUACAAGG
rnacentral:rRNA from 1 species